rnacentral:rRNA from 1 species
AUUGAACGCUGGCGGCAUGCCUUACACAUGCAAGUCGAACGGUAACAGGUCUUCGGAUGCUGACGAGUGGCGAACGGGUGAGUAAUACAUCGGAACGUGCCCGAGAGUGGGGGAUAACGAGGCGAAAGCUUUGCUAAUACCGCAUACGAUCUCAGGAUGAAAGCAGGGGACCGCAAGGCCUUGCGCUCACGGAGCGGCCGAUGGCAGAUGAGGUAGUUGGUGGGAUAAAAGCUUACCAAGCCGACGAUCUGUAGCUGGUCUGAGAGGACGACCAGCCACACUGGGACUGAGACACGGCCCAGACUCCUACGGGAGGCAGCAGUGGGGAAUUUUGGACAAUGGGCGCAAGCCUGAUCCAGCCAUGCCGCGUGCAGGAUGAAGGCCUUCGGGUUGUAAACUGCUUGUGUACGGAACGAAAAGACUCCUUCUAAUAAAGGGGGUCCAUGACGGUACCGUAAGAAUAAGCACCGGCUAACUACGUGCCAGCAGCCGCCGUAAGAC